AAAAUACGGGAGGCAGCAGUGGGGAAUCUUCCGCAAUGGGCGCAAGCCUGACGGAGCAACGCCGCGUGAGUGAAGAAGGUCUUCGGAUCGUAAAGCUCUGUUGAUGGGGACGAACGUACCGGGGUAGCCCGUAAUAGUGCCUUGUAAUGACGGUACCUAUCGAGGAAGCCACGGCUAACUACGUGCCAGCAGCCGCGGUAAUUUUU
rnacentral:rRNA from 1 species